GACGAACGCUGGCGGCGUGCCUAACACAUGCAAGUCGAGCGGGGAUGUAUGGAGGAAGUUUUCGGAUGGAAUCGAUAUAUUCUAGCGGCGGACGGGUGAGUAACGCGUCAGCAACCUGCCUUUCACAGGGGGAUAACGGAUCGAAAGAUUCACUAAUACCGCAUGAGACCACGAUACCGAGUGGUGUAGGGGUCAAAGGAGCAAUCCGGUGAAAGAUGGGCUCGCGUCCGAUUAGGUAGUUGGUGGGGUAACGGCUCACCAAGCCAAUGAUCGGUAGCCGACCUGAGAGGGUGAUCGGCCACACUGGAACUGAGAGACGGUCCAGACUCCUACGGGAGGCAGCAGUGGGGAAUAUUGGGCAAUGGGGGAAACCCUGACCCAGCAACGCCGCGUGAGGGAAGAAGGUUUUCGGAUUGUAAACCUCUGUCCUUGGUGAAGAGCAGAAGACGGUAGCCAAGGAGGAAGCCCCGGCUAACUACGUGCCAGCAGCCGCCGCAGUAA
rnacentral:rRNA from 1 species